GACGAACGCUGGCGGCGUGCUUAACACAUGCAAGUCGAACGGAAAGGCCCUGCUUGCAGGGUACUCGAGUGGCGAAGGGGUGAGUAACACGUGGGUGAUCUGCCCUGCACUUCGGGAUAAGCCUGGGAAACUGGGUCUAAUACCGGAUAGGAGCCAUUUCGAGUGUGAUGGGUGGAAAGUUUUUUCGGUGUUGGGUGAGCGCGCGGUCUAUCAGCUUGUUGGUGGGGUAACGGCCUACCAAGGCGGCGACGGGUAGCCGGUCUGAGAGGGUGGACGGCCACACUGGGGCUGGGACCCGGCCCAGACUGCUGCGGGAAGCAGCAGUGGGGAAUAUUGGAGGCUGGGCGAGAGCCUGAUCCAGCGGUGCCGCGUGAGGGGUGCAGGCGUUAGGGUUGUAAAGCUCUUUUACCCGGGAUGAUAAUGACAGUACCGGGAGAAUAAGCUCCGGCUAACUCCGUG
rnacentral:rRNA from 1 species